rnacentral:sRNA from 1 species
UUACUAAAAACUCCUGUCGCUCACAACC